UCCCCUAUUUCUGCUUCCUUGUUCUGCCAGUUUAUUUCUACCUUGGAGCAUGUCACUGAAAUUGUUUGUAUGGGAUGAGGUGAUUAUUGUAAAUUCCUUGCCGCUGCCGCCGCUGGAAUCACGGACCAAGGUGGUGGAGAAGGCCUUUUUUUCCCGCUACUGCUAUAAUCGUUCUUACUGUUGCUGCUGUUUCGUUUGGUAAUUCAGUGAGUAUCUCACGUUUCGAAAACCCUGCUUUAGCGUCCGGUUGUGUUUGGUUAAAUACCUUGAGGCUUGGUAAUGUAGGUUUGAGUUCUGAUGAUUGCGUGUCGCAUAAGUGUUGCGGAGGCUGCUGUGCCAUUCCUUUUAUUUCAGAAGUAGUAACUGAGCUUAUAUGUGGCGUUGAGGCUGUUUCUACUUUUGAGAAAAAACACGCGGAGCCGGGACUUUGAUUGUCGAUUUCGGGUUGAGGCGGGAAGGACUCUGUGAUGCGUUUGGGUUAUGGAAUUGCGUUUUGAGGAUAUGGGCGCAGAAGUUACGAAGA